GGGCGCUUAGCUCAGUUGGUUAGAGCGUCUGGUUUACACCCAGAAGGCCGAAGGUUCGACUCCUUCAGCGCCCACCA
rnacentral:tRNA from 1 species